ACUCUUUGGGUCCACGCCGCCUUUAUGAGCUGUAACACUCACCACGAAGGUCUGCAGCUUCACUGCUGAAGCCAGCAAGACCACGAACCCACCAGAAGGAAGAAACUCCGAACACAUCUGAACGUCAGAAGGAACAACUCGGGAGGAACGAACAAUUCCAGACGCAACGCCUUAAGAGCUGUAACACUCACCGCGAGGGUCCGCAGCUUCAUUCUUGAAGUCAGUGGGACCAAGAACCCACCAAUUCCGGACACAGAACUAAAGAAGGGGGACUGGUCAAUAUCAAAGACUAGGCACUUGUCUGCAAAGAAAAGACAGUUGUGAGUAGCCUGUACAGCAAGUCCUGAAAUUUCAUAGAAAUCUCUGGAGGAAUUCCUUGGAAGACAUAAAGCCAAGUGAGGUAACGUUUUAUUUCUAUGUGGUCAUCAAACUGCCAUUUGUUUGGUUCAUCCUCAAAGGAGGUAAGUAUCUCAUUUUCACAUCUCUCGAGGCAAACAGAGCAAACUUGCACAAAAUCAACAUGAAGUCCCUCUUGGCUUAUAAGAAUACUCACACUUUUGUUCAUAUCCAGUUUAUUUGAAUGCAAUUUUGUGAAGCCUUGGUAAUAUUUCCAUUACAUCUGAAAUACACUGAUCAAUGUGUGAUUUGAGUUUUCCUCAAAAGUCCUCCAUUUUUCUGGGGGGGGAGUAUGAUGUUAAUACAUAGUGGUGUCCCUUAAAGACAUCUGCUGUAUUUUACUUGUUGAAAAACUUAAUGAUAAAUACAUGAAAGGAAUUUAAGUAGUGCUAUUUUAAUUCAUUUGGAAUUUUUAAAAAAUCAACCAAUGAAUUCUAGAAGGAUCCUCAUUUUAUGUCUAUACAGUUUUCAGCUCUAUUCAUCAAACAUACAGUGGGUGACUUCUAUUUCAUUACCUACUACAGUCUUCAUAAUUCCAAGAGUACAAACUGGAUAUAAGAUCCAUUUCUAGAUGUCAAGCCUCUCCUAUAUAGCAUGAUUAUUGCUCUCUGACAGAAAUCUCAAAAACAGUCAUGCUUUCUGGUGCUAAAAAUGUUCUUUAGGCACAAGAAAUGCCAUAUAAACUGUCCUCUCCCCCAUCACUGGCACUGUUUUAGUUCACAUCGCCAUCAACUCUAGUCUGCACUCCUGACUGGAGUUCUUGCUGCUUCCAAUCUUGACCCCUCCAAAUUGUUCUCCACCGAGCAGCCAUUGUGACCUCUAAAACGAAGUUCAUGUCACAUCACUUCCAUAAUGGUGAGAGGUGACAGCGUGCUGGCAGUCCUCAGAGCCCUCGCUUGCUCUCGGCACUUCCCCUGCCUGGGCUCC
rnacentral:lncRNA from 1 species